CCUACGGGAGGCAGCAGUGAGGAAUAUUGGUCAAUGGGCGCGAGCCUGACCCAGCCAAGUCGCGUGAGGGAAGACGGUCCUAUGGAUUGUAAACCUCUUUUGUCGGGGAGCAAAAGACGCCACGCGUGGCGUUCCGAGAGUACCCGAAGAAAAAGCAUCGGCAAACGCCGCGCCAGCAGCCGCGGUAAUACGGGGGAUGCGAGCGUUAUCGGGAUUUAGUGGGUUAAAAGGGUGCGCAGGCGGAAGAUCAAGUCAGCGGUAAAAUUGAGGGGCUCAACCUCUUCGAGCCGUUGAAACUGGUUUUCUUGAGUGAGCGAGAGGUAUGCGGAAUGCGUGGUGUAGCGGUGAAAUGCAUAGAUAUCACGCAGAACUCCGGUUGCGAAGGCAGCAUACCGGCGCUCAACUGACGCUCAGGCACGAAAGUGUGGGUAUCGAACAGGAUUAGAUACCCGGGUAGUC
rnacentral:rRNA from 1 species